rnacentral:rRNA from 1 species
CAAUAGCGUAUAUUAAAGCUGUUGCGGUUAAAAAGCUCGUAGUUGGAUUUCUGUCAAGGACAACUGGUCCGCCCUCCGGGUGAGCACAUAGUUUGGUCUUGACAUCUUGCUGGAAGCUGUUGCUGCACUUGGCUGUGUGGCGCAGUGUUCAGCACUUUCACUUUGAGGAAAUUGGAGUGUUUCAAGCAGGCACAUGCCUUUGGACACAGUAGCAUGGAAUAAUUAGAUUGGGCUUUUGCUCCAAUUUGUCGGUUUCUGGAGCUGAGGUGAGUAUUAAUGGGGAUUGUUGGGGGCACCCGAAUUUAGCCGUCAGAGGUGAAAUUCUUGGAUCUGCUAAAGACGGACAACUGCGAAAGCGUUUGCCCAGGAUGUUUUCAUUGA